rnacentral:rRNA from 1 species
AGGACGAACGCUGGCGGCGUGCUUAACACAUGCAAGUCGAGCGGAAAGGCCCUUCGGGGUACUCGAGCGGCGAACGGGUGAGUAACACGUGAGUAAUCUGCCCCUAGCUCUGGGAUAGCUCCGGGAAACCGGGAUUAAUACCGGAUACGACUGCUACGGACAUCUGUGGUGGUGGAAAGAACUUCGGCUAGGGAUGAGCUCGCGGCCUAUCAGCUUGUUGGUGGGGUAACGCCUACCAAGGCGACGACGGGUA